CCAGCUGAUCGGGAGGAGAAGCCGGUAUGAGGGGAGUUGAAGCAGAGCCUCGGGACGCAGCGAUGUGUUGGCUAGACUGUCAAAUUUAACAUCGACAGGGUUUUAUAGUGUCGUGUUAUAGUUUUGUAAUGACAUUAUUUGUAAUUCCUUUAGCACUCUUUUAAAUUGAUGAAGUGAGUCGCUUUUAAGCUUUAAGAGUCAAGCUUUAGCUUUGAUGUCAGGAGUGAUUUGGGGUUAAGGUGUGGCUUUCGGCAAAAAGGUUAUUUAGUGUACCAGAACUUAAAAUGCAGGCUGGUUUAUGGUAUUCGCGAGAAUUUGUCUGUCAUCGGUAGGAUUGUAAGAGAUAUUUAAAUCCAGGAAGCGUUUGAUUGCACAACGGAACCACUGAUCGUCCUGAAAAUGUUACGAAGCGGAAUUUAAUCCGUUGUAACGUUCAUUGUAACUUUUAGCAAGUAUGAAAAUCCAAUGUAAUUUGAAUCCGUUACAUAGAAACGAAUAUGAUCUGUUAGAUUUUAACAGAAGAGCUCGCGACGCGGCCAGGGAAAGCGCACAGUUCAGAGUUGAGCCGCACAGGGCGUGAGCCGUCCUUUAGUCAGCGUGAGGGGAAAACUCAUCGCGAAAUGAAGGAUGUUGUGCGUAUGUAAGAUGAUAUCUGGAAGUCGCACCGGUUACCAUCACGACAUACGAAUCGAUCUUCUAAAAACCGAGACUUCUGCCAGUUGAAAGUUUAACAUCUGGAGAGAAGACCUCAGUUUCAGUGCCACCAGUAUGUCAUUGAAUGGAUUUCGUCCAGCUGUUGAAGGACACAUUCCCACGCACCGCCAUGAAGUCUGGGAGGCUAAUGGGGGUUGUGUCUUCACGAACAGAGGGGCAGGAUGUAUGCGUGACGUCUGUGAACCGGACGAGCCCUUGGUCCUGCCACGCCUUGUGUCUACAUUUUUUGUGGAGUACCGGGAACUAUGAGGAGCCUCUUGGCUGACCUGCAGCAGUUCUUCACUGGCAAGCUUUAUGUCCUUGUAUACCAGCUAAAGCUGCCAGCUGAAGAACUGUUGUGGUUGGCUAUUUCCUGGCACAUCAGAGGUGGCAAUCCAAAGGUAAAGGCGUUGUGGGCCCCUGCCUUCCUUUUUCCAGCAAUCCCGGAUUCCACUUUGUCUCCAGCGAUCUUCCCCCAACCUCACCUCACGUAAGCUUGGCUAUUCGUUCAUCUCAGGCGUAAACAAAAGGAUACUGAGCGGGCUCCGUGCUGACUCAGCAACAUUCCUGGACCGGUGUGGUUCCCUUGCCCUUAUUUGGGAGUGGAGCAUGGAGGGAGUGGCAUUCAGAGCUGAAAGAAGUAGCCAUCUUGCUGUGCUGCUGUAGCACAAGAUGAGGAAGAUGGAGGAAGACUACAUUAGUUUAGCAACUACUAUAUGAAAUGUUCUCAUACAGUGCAUGUUUCUAUGUAUUCUGAAUACGUGCCCAGGCUUUGACAUGUUUGCGUGUUAAAAUUUCAUAGUUCCUCUAGGGAAUGACUGAUAAAAGCUUGCAGUGCGUAUGUAACUUCCUUUUGCCUUUAGACUGUUUUGUGACACAAAUAUGAUUUUCAGUUUGUUUGUUCUGGCUGUGCACAUUAUGUACAGAUCUGACCUUGGUCAAACUUAGUAUACGCAUACAGACCUCCAUACAGUAUAUACACACCCUCUGCACAUCGCUUGACCCCAGACAAGCCAUAAACAUAACCCCAAGGCUAGCUUCGGUGCAGAAAACAGGAUAUGAAAAUGUGUGCGUUCUAAAUCCUCCCCGCCAGAUGAAAAAUGAAAAUAUUCUCGCAAUUUAGGAGAACCAGAUGCUGCGCUGAGGAAAUGUGGUUCGUCUUUUCCAGGAAUUCCAUCUGUUCUUGACCUUUUAUUUUUCAAACUUAGAUAAGACGCACGCCACAUGUUUUGCACAUGUGACCGUGCCUUACGUAUGGCUCUGACCUCCACACAAGGGCUUCCUCAGGUCAUUGGAGAAGAUUGCCUACGUGAUCCGCUCUAGUCUAAUGUCAAUCUCUCCACAAGUGCAUUAAAAGAUUGUUGAGGGUCGUUGUCUCAGCUCUUCUUAAGCUCUGUCUGUCUGUGCAGGUGCACUUAGGCUUUGGAAGUAUUUUAUUGUCAGAACUUCCAACUCAUUUACUAUUUUCUUUUCGUGGAUAUCAAUGUGAUUUAAAGAUGUAAUGCAGAUCAGAGAGUGAAAUAAAAAGGCUUUGGGGAAA